UACAGAGGUCCCGAGCGUUGUUCGGAUUCAUUGGGCGUAAAGGGUGCGUAGGCGGCGGGGAAAGUCUGAUGUGAAAUCCUGGGGCUCAACCCUGGAACUGCAUUGGAUACUUCCUUGCUAGAGUACUGGAGAGGAAACUGGAAUUUACGGUGUAGCAGUGAAAUGCGUAGAGAUCGUAAGGAAGACCAGUGGCGAAAGGCGAGUUUCUGGACAGUUACUGACGUGAGGCACGAAGGCCAGGGGAGCAAACGGG
rnacentral:rRNA from 1 species